CCUACGGGUGGCAGCAGUGAGGAAUCUUGGUCAAUGGGCGCAAGCCUGAACCAGCCAAGUCGCGUGAGGGAUGACGGUCCUAUGGAUUGUAAACCUCUUUUGUCGGGGAGCAAGGCCGGCCACGUGUGGCGUGAAGGAGAGUACCCGAAGAACAAGCAUCGGCUAACUCCGUGCCAGCAGCCGCGGUAAUACGGAGGAUGCGAGCGUUAUCCGGCUUUAUUGGGUUUAAAGGGUGCGUAGGCGGAAUGUUAAGUCAGCGGUAAGAUGUCGGUGCGCAAUACCGGCGUGCCGUUGAUACUGGUCUUCUUGAGUGAGCGAGAAGUAUGCGGAAUGCGUGGUGUAGCGGUGAAAUGCAUAGAUAUCACGCAGAACUCCGAUUGCGAAGGCAGCAUACCGGCGCUCAACUGACGCUGAGGCACGAAAGCGUGGGGAUCGAACAGGAUUAGAUACCCUAGUAGUC
rnacentral:rRNA from 1 species